rnacentral:rRNA from 1 species
GACGAACGCUGGCGGCGUGCUUAACACAUGCAAGUCGAACGGUGAAGCUCCAGCUUGCUGGAGUGGAUCAGUGGCGAACGGGUGAGUAACACGUGAGCAACCUGCCCCUGACUCUGGAAUAAGCGCUGGAAACGGCGUCUAAUACUGGAUACGAGAAGGGUCCGCAUGGGCACUUUCUGGAAAGUUUUUCGGUUGGGGAUGGGCUCGCGGCCUAUCGGCUUGUUGGUGAGGUAAUGGCUCACCAAGGCGACGACGGGUAGCCGGCCUGAGAGGGCGACCGGCCACACUGGGACUGAGACACGGCCCAGACUCCUACGGGAGGCAGCAGUGGGGAAUAUUGCACAAUGGGCGAAAGCCUGAUGCAGCGACGCCGCGUGAGGGAUGACGGCCUUCGGGUUGUAAACCUCUUUCAGCAGGGAAGAAGCGAAAGUGACGGUACCUGCAGAAGAAGCACCGGCUAACUACGUG